rnacentral:rRNA from 1 species
GACGAACGCUGGCGGUGUGCUUAACACAUGCAAGUGGAGCGACGAACCAGAGCUUGCUCUGGGGGCAGAGCCGCGAACGGGUGAGUAACACGUGGGUAACGUACCCCGAUUACCGGGACAACCCGAGGAAACUCGGGCUAAUACCGGAUGUGCUCCCUCCCCAUGAGGGGAGUGAGUAAAGGAAGCUUCGGCCUCCGAAUCGGGAGCGGCCCGCGGCCUAUUAGUUUGUUGGUGGAGUAACGGCCUACCAAGACUGCGAUAGGUAGCUGGUCUGAGAGGACGAUCAGCCACACUGGGACUGAGACACGGCCCAGACUCCUACGGGAGGCAGCAGUGGGGAAUCUUGCGCAAUGCGCGAAAGCGUGACGCAGCAACACCGCGU